rnacentral:lncRNA from 1 species
AAGUAAAAAAGCUGUAGUCCUGAAUCCAGACAUAAUUCCCCAAAAACUUUUGGAGUUUCUCCUUCCAAGGUUUUUCAAGGUCUCAAGGACACCUGAGGCACCGAUGGAUGGGGAGCCUUCCAGGCCAUCAU